rnacentral:lncRNA from 1 species
CUCCCCUCCCCUGACCCCUUUGUCGUCCACUCUAUUCGCUUUUGUUUCAACCGAAUGAGCACACAAAAAAGCCUGCAUUCCGCCGGGCAGUCUUAUUCAAACGUGGCAUGGCUGCGUUUUCUCAAUUAAUCAGGAGCCUGCCCCCCCACCCCCCUGCCCCUUUCUCCUCCACGUUUUUCUCUUCUCGGCAUCUUAAUCAGGGUCCAGCUGGACUCCAGCUUCCAGGAGAAUUUCGAGGGCCCGACAGACACUUGCCCAGAAAUGGGUGGAACUUGCGUCCGUCUGUCAGCACGAAUGAGGCCCCUGCCGUAUCGGAGCCUUUGGGAAUGACGCUCUUGGGUCCACAGCCUGCCUGCCCUCCGGCCUUAGACUGUGGUUCUGUUGCUGAAGCAGACGUGGCCCAGAUGGACUGCUGCUCUGUUACCAGUUUUCCCAACCUGGAGCCAUUUUAGUCCAACCCUUACUAUUUAAUUCUAUUAUUAUUUUUUUAACUGACCAUGUAAAAGCAACGGUUCUCUUUUUUAUGUCUUAAGUUAUGAAAGUAUGAUGACACAUUUAUAGGAGACUUGGAAAAUGCAGAACAAAGUUAUAUAUAGUUCUACCAUGUAUUAAAAUAAUUUUUAAGUAAAUAAAUUGAGAUUUCUUUAGUUGGUGUUUUGAUAU